rnacentral:misc_RNA from 1 species
UUUCAAGUGAAAAUUAAACUCAAUUUCUAAAAGUUCAAUACUGACCAGUGAUUCCCAAGGAUUAUCCAUGAUUGGCAAGAGUAUGCCUUGAUUUGGAAAAAAGAAUAUACAAGAUUGUCAUUGAUAGAUAUACUAUGGAUUGUCAUUGCAAAGGUUCAAAUUCUUCUAAGUAUCGGUCAAAUCUUCAAGUUGAUAUAUGUGAGACAGGCUCUCCGAGCUUUUCAUUUCUCAAUUUCAACGUGCGGUUGGAAGUGAUGCCAUCUUAUAACCUGGCAACUGGGCGAGGAAGGUCCCAGUCAGUCACAAUGUGGUUACGGGUAAUCUCCCCCAAUGAGCGGCAGCCAUUUAAUGCCAUUGUUAGCUCGAACUCAUCACGAAGCAUCUGAAGU